AAUGAACGUUGGCGGCAUGGAUUAGGCAUGCAAGUCGAGCGAGAAGUGUAGCAAUACACGGAAAGCGGCGGAAGGGAGAGUAAUACGUGGGAAUCUGCCCUUAGACCUGGGAUAGCAGCGGGAAACUGCUGGUAAUACCAGAUAAUGUCUAUGGACCAAAGGUGUGAUUCCGUCUAGGGAUGAGCCCACGUCUUAUUAGCUAGUUGGUAGGGUAAUGGCCAACCAAGGCGAUGAUGGGUAGCGGGUGUGAGAGCAUGACCCGCCUCACUGGGACUGAGACACUGCCCAGACACCUACGGGUGGCUGCAGUCGAGAAUCUUCGGCAAUGGGCGCAAGCCUGACCGAGCGAUGCCGCGUGCGGGAUGAAGGCCUUCGGGUUGUAAACCGCUGACGAGGGGGAGCAACUUCCAUAGAGUUAUCUUUAUGGAUUGAGUGAUCCCUGGAGGAAGGACGGGCUAAGUUCGUGCCAGCCGCCGCCGUAACAC
rnacentral:rRNA from 1 species